rnacentral:rRNA from 1 species
ACAUGCAUACAACUUAACGUUAAUGCACUGGAUCCCAUUAGAAACACGCAUUUAAGCACACUUUGGCUACAGUAGUGCUGGGAUGGGUGACCGCCUGGGAAGUCCUAGUGUUUUGCAUGCC